rnacentral:rRNA from 1 species
UACGUAGGGGGCAAGCGUUGUCCGGAUUUAUUGGGCGUAAAGAGCGUGUAGGCGGUUUGGUAGGUCCGCUGUGAAAACUCGAGCUCAACCUCGAGACGCCGGUGGAAACCAUCAGACUAGAGUCCGGAAGAGGAGAGUGGAAUUCCUGGUGUAGCGGUGGAAUGCGCAGAUAUCAGGAGGAACACCGGUGGCGAAGGCGGUUCUCUGGGCCUGUACUGACGCUGAGGAACGAAAGCGUGGGGAGCGAACAGG